rnacentral:rRNA from 1 species
UGCAGUUGACGAACCGACAUACCGGAACCUUCGGGGGAAGGUGUGAAAGGUUAGUAGCGGACGGGUGAGUAACACGUGGGCAAUCUGCCCUUUAGACUGGGAUAACACCGGGAAACCGGUGCUAAUACCGGAUGAGAUUCUUUCCUGGCAUCAGGAAAGGAUGAAAGGAGGCCUCUCUAUAGAAGCUCCCGCUAAAGGAUGAGCCCGCGGCCCAUUAGCUGGUUGGUAGGGUAAUGGCCUACCAAGGCGACGAUGGGUAGCCGGCCUGAGAGGGUGAACGGCCACACUGGGACUGAGACACGGCCCAGACUCCUACGGGAGGCAGCAGUGGGGAAUAUUGCGCAAUGGGGGAAACCCUGACGCAGCAACGCCGCGUGAACGACGAAGGCCUUCGGGUCGUAAAGUUCUGUCAAGUGGGACGAAGUCUUAACGGUUAACAGCCGUUGAGGUGACGGUACCUAAAGAGGAAGCUCCGGCUAACUACGUGCCAGCAGCCGCGGUAAUACGUAGGGAGCAAGCGUUGUCCGGAAUUACUGGGCGUAAAGGGCGCGUAGGCGGCCACUUAAGUUAGAUGUGAAAAACCGGGGCUCAACCGCGGUAUUGCAUUUAAAACUGGGUGGCUUGAGGGUGAGAGAGGAAAGUGGAAUUCCUAGUGUAGCGGUGAAAUGCGUAGAUAUUAGGAGGAACACCAGUGGCGAA